rnacentral:rRNA from 1 species
UAGUUAUAUGCUUGUCUCAAAGAUUAAGCCAUGCAUGUCUAAGUAUAAACCAAUUAAUACGGUGAAACUGCGAAUGGCUCAUUAUAUCAGUUAUAGUUUAUUUGAUGAUCAACUCCACUUGGAUAACCGUGGUAAUUCUAGAGCUAAUACAUGCACGACGGAGCGGGUGGCACCCUCUCGGUGGGAGCCCCUACCGCUGUAUUUAUUAGGUAACCAACAGCGAGGCUUCGCGCCUCGUUUAGAUGAUUCAUGAUAACUUAACGAAUCGCAUUGCGCG